rfam:Eutypa lata TCREL1 unplaced genomic scaffold EL1_03_scaffold_903, whole genome shotgun sequence.
AGCAUUUUGGCGCAGCGGUUAGCGCGCCGGGCUCAUAACCCGGAGGUCCCUGGAUCGAUACCAGGAAAUGCUA